UUCUAUGGCCAUGCCACCCUGAACAUGCCUGAUCUCGUCUGAUCUUGGAAGCUAAGCAGGGUCGGGCUUGGUUAGUACUUGGAUGGGAGACCACCUAGGAAUAAGAGGUGCUGUCAGCG
rnacentral:rRNA from 1 species